AGAUGGAGACGAAGGUAAUCGAGCCCAGCCCCCAGGCUCUGAUUGGGUGGCCUCUCGCGCAGGCGCCUGAGGCGCGGCAAGCCGGAGGGGAUUUGCCAAGGGAACAGGAGUGUUUACAGUUAUCGCGUCCUCCUUCUAGUUCCCUUCCCCGCCCCAUAACCGUUCAAGAGCGCUUUGCUGCCCAGUUCCAGAUCCAGCCAGGCGCGGGGUGAGAGCCAUGCCUAUACAAUGUAAGGGAUUGAGUGAGUACAGAAGGAACUUCAAGUGGAGGAAAUCAGAUCAAUCCACACUUUGUAUCCCUACGCGUGAGGAAAAAUGCCGAUGGGCUGGACUUCGAUCAGAUGAGCUUGGAAUCUCAAGAGAACCAAACUUUAUUUCCAAGAGAAGAGUACCUUAUUACAACACACAGGUUUCAAAGUCCUUUGAGUGGAAUGGGGGCAAUGAUUUGGAAGAAGAUACAUCAUCAGAAGUGGAAGUUCACCAGCCAGUACAGCCACUGGAGUUGCACACAAAUCACAAGAAGGAGGAUAUAAACCAAGAAACAAUUAAAACACCCGAUGCUCCCAGACUUCCUGAAAAAAUGCAGUCCAACUCUGCAAGUUCUAAAUCUGAAUCAGCUUUAACCCUUGCAGAAACCAAGAAGUCGCCAUCCAAAGCUACAGUGCAUGAAAAUAAAAUAUUGGCACCUGCAAAAAAGGAUGCAGGAAAAAUAGACAGUGGGCUUAAUAAGGUUCUGCAGAGGAAAGCUGGCAUGAAUGUUUCACGGUCAAGCAGCUUCCCCAGAAGUUCUGAGUAUCAAAGACAAUUUGUUUGGAAGAUCCCUCAAAAACUCUCUCCAUUACUUGCAGCUGACCAGUUUAUUCACAGUGCAAGUAAAUCCAUUCCUCCAUUUAAGUCUCCUGUAAUUACUCAUGAAACGGAAUAUGAAAGGAGUUUCAAAGCUUCUCCCCCUGUGAAAGAACUGAAACAGAGGUGCUUUUUGGAUGAAAAAGAACGUCCUGUACCUGAAUCUGUAGAAACUUCCCUUGGAAAAAUGAAUGAGAAAAAAGAAACAUUUUCAAAAACCAUGGAAAAGCCAUCUAAGCAAGACAAAAUGGAAGCAGAGCAGAAACAACAUCAAAAACACAAAACCCUCUCUCCACAUAGAAGUUUGAGGAAAAUGAAAACGGAAUACAGAUCAAAAUUUUUGUCUCCAGCUCAGUACUUGUACAAUGAUGGUGCCUGGUUGCGUAUUGGGAGAAACGUAAGAGAUCAAGGUUCUCAAAACACCCUAAAAACCAUGUGGUAUGUGGAGGUGAAAGAACUUCGAGAGAAAGCAAAGGCUUACAGACAAAGAAUACAGGGAACCCACUUCUCCAGAGAUCAUUUAAACCAGAUUCUGUCAGAUAACAACAGGCUUUGGGACAUGUCUUCUGAUUCCAGUACAGAAGAAAUCGUUAGCAACAAUAUCAGAGCUCUAGAUCUGGCAGGCAUCCCUGAAAGGCAGAUCUCUGCAGGUCCUAAGACAUUGCUACAACCUACAUUUUCAGAACAGUUUGAACAGAACAACACUGAGAAGUUGGGUAUGUCAGAUGCUCCCACAGUUCCAGUCAGGCGACAUCUAGUUUGGGAUGCAUCAGCCAAUGCUGAACAGCUGGAAAGUCGGCCACCAGAAUUAGAGGAAGGAGAAGAAAAAGAGCAUGAGCAAGAGCUGGAAGAGGAUGAAGCAGUAAAAGGAAGUAAUGAUGGAACCAGUACAGACAAGCAGCAAGAGGGAAAUGUAAAUCCCUCAGCAGAUAUGGCAGACUCUUCUGCAGUAUCCUCAAGAAGUGGGGGCAGGCUUCCUACUCCACAUCUAAGAGCACUUGGUGGAGCUCAAAGAACUCAUCAUGACCUUACCACACCAAGUGCUGGUGGUGUUGUUUUAGUAUCUCCUCCUAAAGCGAAGUCUUUGUUCUCACUGCAAACAGGGAAGGGCUCUCCAGGGAAGCAUGCCUUGCCCCAUAAUAAAGUCUCAAGAGAAGACUUUAAGAGGAAAUCUAACAGGGUAAGACACAGCAGGUCUAUGAAAGUUGAAGGGGAAACUUUGUCAAUGAGUUCUUCCCCAGCUGCUGGUCUGAAAACUUUAGAUCCUCUGCCUCUAAGGAAAGAUCAGGGGUCCAAUCUAGACACUUCUGGUGUAAGAAGCCCUCCAGUACAUUCAGAACAGACUCCGAAGGACCCUUCUCUACCCUACUGGAGUUCAUCACGCCGCAUUCAAGGAAGUCUUAGGGAUCCAGAGUUUCAGCAUAACGGCAAUGUUGCAAGCCCCAAAAGGAGUUGGUUGCAGUUACCGCUUCAGGAGAGAAACUAUAAUGAUGAAGAUGGAGUAGUGUAGGGGAGGUGAAGUGCUAGCCCCAGAGCAUCAAAAAGCUACCUGCAGUUUCCAGUGUUGCCACAAGGUUGUUCUGUGGUGCCAGAGCCCAGAAUAGGGAGUGAACAGGCCAUGCAGGUCCCCACAGAAUUUCUGAAGAUCCAUGAGGUAAACAUUCCAGGCAAUCUAAAAGUGGAAAAAUAAGAGGCUAAAUCAUACAUUUAUUUCUGAAAUGAUACCCCUGUAACAUUGUCUGACAUCUAGAGUAAUGAUGUGCAUGUGCCGCAUUCCAGACUAGAACUCUGUGUGUGUGUGUAUGAGGGAGAGAGAGAGAGAGAGAGAGCGCGAGCGUGCGACUGACCAACCAACCAGCCUCUCUUUCACUAUGAAGUGCUCUGUGCCACCUCAAAAUGUGUUCCUCAAGGACAUAUUUUCUGCAACAAGCCGCCUGGUUCGGUUUGAGUUUGAACCAGACCCAAACCAGAUUGGGCCAGUUUGGUUUUGCCUCACAUCAAACACCCCCCCCCCCAGUUUGCUUUGCUUUGGAGGGGGGGUUGUCGAACGUGUUCAGUUCUCCCUCCCCUUGUUCCUUUUAACUUACCCCCUUUGCAAGGCUUCUCCAAGGUGAUGGUGGGUGUCCGUGGAGGUUCCUCACCCCCACCAGUCUUUAUGCAAAAAUCGUCUGGUUUGGGCGGUCUUCAGCCUUUUCCAGGCCUAUUCCCCAGCGUGGCAGCCAUUUUGGAGGCCACUGUGCAUGCGCAGUGGGACCCUCUGUGGUCAGGUCAUGACCCAGGCCAUGUGGGGGUGGUUCAGCUCGACCCCAAACCUUCGAACCCAGCCUGUUCGAUAUCGAACCGGUUUGGAUUCGACUUGUUUGCACACCCCUACUUCAGAGGGAAGGGGAGGUCAGCACCCCUUCCAUGAGUGCAUGUGCUCUGGAAUGCUUCAUGUGUGCCAUGUUAGUGUGGAUGCCUGCUGAUGAUUACACUAUAUAAUUCUCACAUUGGGGGCUGUUUUGUGUGAAAUGGUGCCCAUGUUAACCACAUAAGAGGAAAUGGUUGAAAUUCAGUAUCAGAGGAAAAAGUAUAGCAGCAGUUUUCUUUGAGGGGUUAUGGCCUUAUGCAUGAAAAUGAGGUGGUAAAGUCACUAUGUGUGGGACUUUUCACUUAUACAAAAUGUGUGAAUCAGCCCUAACACUUUUAUUAAAUAUAGUAGUUUGGCUCUCAAGCAUCCCAGUGCACAGAAGAGGGCAGUUUGGCACUCUGUGCCAAAGCAUAUACAGCAAAUUUAGUUGAAAGAUCAUAUUCCUCAUCUGGCAACUUUCUGCACCUCCAAGGAAGGCCCACCUAACAGCCAUUUAGACGCUUGAGAUAACUGCCAAGACUGAAAAAUGUGUGGGUUGUGCAAAGCAACAUAUUUACAGAAAACAUUUGCCAUCACCUGGUCUUCAGCAAUGCCCUAUAAACUCACCACAGUUUUUGAAAUGACAGAUCAUUACUAAACUGUGACUUUGCUACUGAAAAAACAACAACCAGCCAUUAGCAGCAGAAAAACCAUCUGAAGAAUCAUCCAAUAAUGCCUGUCUUAAAUGUGCACAUUUACUGUGCAAGAAUGUACAGCUGCCACUGGUAGUUUGUAACUUUUCCUUGCAGAUGUUAAGUUCUUUUCUUUAGCACAUUUUCCAGCCAAAGUCUUUCAAGAAGUUGAGGCAAAUAUUAAGACCUGCAAUAAACCUAUCAAAUAUAUAUUUUAAAAAAUUAGAACACCUAGAUAGGUCUCUGUUCAACUAUCUUUCUGUUUUGUCAUGAGAUUUUGCUAAAAUAUAGUUUGGAAUUUGCUCACCACUGAGUUCUAUGAACUCCACCCACCUGAUUGCCUGCUAAAUGUCCUCGGAGGCAGCAAACAUUCCGCUUUAUUGAAUUACAUUGGGGCAGUUGGUCCCCCCGCCCCUUGAGUUUUCUCUCUCCAGAAUUUUGUAAAACCAACUUAUCUACAGAUUACCCUGAGUCUGCUGGUACCUCCCUCUCUCCUGCAGGUGCUCUGAUCCCUAAGGAUCAUAACGUUUCCAACUCUUUCGGAAACAGAUAUACAAUCUUUUAAAACUGAAUGUGCCACAUACAGACUGUAUGCAAAUUGCAGCAUGUCUAAGAUUCAACCCACAUGAACUAUUAAUGUAAUAGUAAUAAACACCCCUGAUCUAACACAUGCCAUGAGAGCAGAAACUUUCAUUAUGCUUGGCUGUUUCCUAUAUUGGACUUGUCAAAGAAUAAAAAUACUUGUUUUAGUGCUGAUACUGUAGGUUGUUCUUAAAAAGUCAAAUUAUGACCUCUUUAUGCAUAAUGAAAUCACUCAAAAGGUUUGCCUUUUAAUGCAGCCAGUGCCAUGAAGAUGUUUCUUAAACCAGAUGUAAAACUGGCUUCAAUAUCCAUAUAAUCUCCAAACUAGUAGCACCCCAGUGUGUAGAAGGAUAACAUCAGCUUACCAGCGAACUUAAUAAUGAUUACGUUGUUCAGUAGAUGUUAGCCUUUUCACCCCUAAACGGUAUUUGUUCUUGAGUUUAGAAAGUCUUUAAGCAUACAUUAUUUAUUUUUCAUAUUUCAGUGUAACUCAUAUAAUUUUU